CUCCCGAGUGCUUGCACUCAAUUGGAAAGGGGAGUGGCGGACGGGUGAGUAACACGUGGGUAACCUACCCAUCAGAGGGGGAUAACACUUGGAAACAGGUGCUAAUACCGCAUAACAGUUUAUGCCGCAUGGCAUAAGAGUGAAAGGCGCUUUCGGGUGUCGUUGAUGGAUGGACCCGCGGUGCAUUAGCUAGUUGGUGAGGUAACGGCUCACCAAGGCCACGAUGCAUAGCCGACCUGAGAGGGUGAUCGGCCACACUGGGACUGAGACACGGCCCAGACUCCUACGGGAGGCAGCAGUAGGGAAUCUUCGGCAAUGGACGAAAGUCUGACCGAGCAACGCCGCGUGAGUGAAGAAGGUUUUCGGAUCGUAAAACUCUGUUGUUAGAGAAGAACAAGGACGUUAGUAACUGAACGUCCCCUGACGGUAUCUAACCAGAAAGCCACGGCUAACUACGUGCCAGCAGCCGCGGUAAUACGUAGGUGGCAAGCGUUGUCCGGAUUUAUUGGGCGUAAAGCGAGCGCAGGCGGUUUCUUAAGUCUGAUGUGAAAGCCCCCGGCUCAACCGGGGAGGGUCAUUGGAAACUGGGAGACUUGAGUGCAGAAGAGGAGAGUGGAAUUCCAUGUGUAGCGGUGAAAUGCGCAGAUAUAUGGAGGAACACCAGUGGCGAAGGCGGCUCUCUG
rnacentral:rRNA from 1 species